rnacentral:lncRNA from 1 species
UGGAAUUAUUAAUGUGCCUGGCAUUCAGUAAGACUGACAUGUUGUUUUGAGAUUUACUUUCUUUUUAUUAUGUAUAUUUGCAAACUUCCCCUAAUUUGCACAUUUCUUCUUGGUCCUGUUUUCAGUUCUUUAGGUUUUCUCUGUUAGAAUUUAAGCAGCUCAAAUAUGUUAACAUACAUAUUAUUUUAAGCAGCUCAAAUAUGUUAACAUACAUAUAUAAUUUGCACAUUUCUUCUUGGUCUUGUUUUCUGUUUUCCAGCUUCGAUGCAAGCCUUCUAUUGCACGGUCAACAAUACAUAGAGAUCUACAAGCCAAUUCCUUCAUGUGCCAGUGUAAGUAGCUUACCAUCGUUCUCAGAUGUUUUAUUGUAACAUCCUUGUGCUUGGAGACUAUGCAUGAGAUAGGCGCAGACUGAUUGACCAUGCAUUUUAUCCACUUGUUCUUGUCUACAAGUGGCUUCAACAAUUCCUAGUAACUGCAUCGCCAAAUUGUUUUUUCUGCAUGGAUACAUAUAAACAUGCUAAAAGAACUCCACUGAUAAUUAAGCUCUUCUAGUUGACUUGCAUGUGCGUGCAUGUUAGUCGUGACUUGAUGAUAAUAUAGCUGUUCAGGUUGUUCUCUAAAUUAAAAGAGAGAACAUAUUCCCUUUGCUUGUUAAAUGUUAAUUAAUCCAGCAUUAUUGGAAAAACUAUUUGUAUACUGGUACUACGUACUGAAGAUUUCUUUUAAGUUAUUAGAUUUUCUUCAGAGCCUUCAUAUCUGGCGCACACUCAUGGAAACAAUUGCCUGUUGUUUUUUCUCUUCAGGUUGUAAACAAGGUUAAGGUAGCUGGUUUGCAUGACAAAGGUACAAUAAAUGGUUGAUCAUUCCAUGGUGCAUACAUACUCGAUAAUUUGUGCUCCUUACCUUUUCAUUCUGAAAAUUAUUAUUACAUGUUUCCCUGUUUUUGUUAGUUUAUCAUUGCUUUGAUCCAUGCUAUUGCUAUACUGAAUGAUCUUACAGUUGGUGGAACUAGGACAAAUUUCUUACAUAGCAUCUUCCAACAUUUUGUUUCAGUUGCAGACCAAUGCCUUUACAAUCUUGAAAAAAUAAAAGUGCUGCAGCUUUUCUUAAGUACACCGAGUGUGACAAAUGCACAACAUAUUCUCAGAAAUAGUGAAGCAUAACGUGCCGAGUCCUUCCUGUGGAGCUCCGCACAUGUAACUUAUCAUGCUCUAUUGAACCAUCAACUCCAUGGUUGUAGAUUCCACUAUUGUAGGAAUAAGUGCUCUGUUGAAUAACAAUCUCAUCCCUGGUACAUUUCAUCCUAUGCUAGUAUCAAGAUCACCUUUCCAUUUUGUCCCUCAGUUGUCAGUGUCCAUCCACUACUGCAGGAUUGUUUAGUCAAAGUGCCAUCCAAUUGUUGUGAAAUUUCGAGUGACCAUCAUUAACAUCCUUCAAAUCCUCUGACCACUUGUUUGGAGCAAUACAAAACCGCCCUUGACAUAUUAUACUCAAAUUUGAGAAUCAUUUUAUUGAGGCACUAUUUUAAUGUGCAGGGAAAGCAACUAUUCUCGAGAUCGAAACUACCACCAGUCUCAAAGAUUCUGGCGAAGUGUUAUGUAUGAACAGGUCUGUUAUAUUGCUAUAAGAUUCAAGUCUUCCAGUGUUCUUUCUGUAAAAUUACAAAGAAACGAUUAUGUUAAUGCAGGAGUACUAUUUUCUUGCGUGGCGCUGGAGGAUUUUCCGACUCUUCCCGGCCAUACUCGUAUACGACUUAUCCUGCCAACCAGAUUUCUCGCAUUUCUAUUCCAAAUUCCACACCUUCUGCGGUGUAUGAAGACCAGACGCAACAAUCCCAGGCAUGCUACUCAUUCUGCUUGUUGUUUUAUUUGUUUGUUCAAUUACUCGUCGUUGUUGGUAAUAAGGUGCAGCUUGUAUGUUGGAGAAAAUUUGAUAACCAUGUAAGUUGUAGCUAUGCAUGUGUUGUUUUAUGAAUUAUGUGCUCAACUGCUCAUCUUACACUAAUAAUCCCAAGAACUAUGUUGUCUUUUUGCUCGCCCAAUCGUUUAUGAGUCCAGAAUUCUACCUUAUUGGCCAAGAAGGCUGAAUUUCUUUCUUCAGAAGAAAUCAGUUUCUCAUUUUAUUGACAUGCAAUUGUUCUGUCAGCCUGAUUCCUUGUGAUUUUCAAUCCAGGCACUCUUAUACAGGUUAUCUGGUGAUUAUAAUCCUUUGCAUUCAGACCCUAUGGUUGCACAGGUUGCAGGGUAUGUCACCUCAACUUGAUCACUCUUAUGCUGUUAUUUUUGAAUGCUGACAUCGAGCAAGUAUUUGAGCUAGAUAUUGCAUUGGAGUUUCUAGCAAAAAUAUGUUUUAGGGGUACUAACCAGCCAUAGAUGAAGGACCUAAAGAGUAAUGUUCACUCGAAAGUCAAAACAAUGCUUUUUCUUCCCUGAAGAAUAGGCGAACAAUGUUCCUGUGCGAAUGAAAACUAACGGUAGCUAGCAGAACGGCCACGUCCUUCUCAUUUUGAGUUGGUUAGGAUUGGAGUCCAUACCCCGGUAAAUUUUCCUGCGCUUUCAUGUUCACAUGAUCCAACAAAAGCCUUCUCAAUUCGAUGCGUACAUACUGCAAGAUCCUCUUUUACAUGGGCCCAGCUUCCCCUGUUUGAAGCUCUGGUUAUCUUCUGAAUCUGAUGAUAACCGCCGCAGGUUCACCCGUCCGAUACUGCACGGCCUCUGCACCCUGGGGUUCGCGGCCCGGGCGGUCAUCAAGUCGUUCUGCCACGGGGACCCUGCGGCGGUGCGAAACAUCUUUGGCCGGUUUCUGCUGCACGUCUACCCCGGCGAGACGCUGGUCACCGAGAUGUGGGUCGACGGCCAGAGGUAAAUGUUGCUCUAGCACCAGUUGGUCGAAUUCUGUAAUAGCCUAGCCGCUGAUGUUCUCGACAAACAAACCCAUGGAAUUGGAUGGAAUGAUUGGCUUGUGCAGGGUGCAGUACCAGACCAAGGCGAAAGAGCGUGACCGCGCCGUGCUUUCCGGAUACGUGCUGCUCAAACACAUCCCCUCAUCAUUGUAAGUGCUGUGAGGAUCAUACUUUUUAAUCGGUGCUCUUAUUAGUUAACUGUGGUGGUCUGAAAAGAGGAUGGUUUCCGUUGUAAACUAUAUAUACUCCUAAGAGAUGACACGGUUGUGCAGACGAUAAAUUCGUAUUAGUACUUUUUUUUUGUUCUGUUCAUGAAACUAACAUGAAAUCGGAACGUUUUACGGAAAAAAGAGUUCGAGCAUUUCAUUUUUCUUUUUUUU